UUUUUCCUGUUGUCACAAGUUGUUUCAGGCUGGUCCUCCUUCUCAUUACUGGGUCUGACCUCACUCCUCACCUACAGGCCCCUUCCGAGCCAUGGGGGUGGGUGUUUUGUGUUGGAGAUGACCCAGAGUGGGAGCCUUCAUCUCUUAAGUAGAUUCUCAGAAGGGCGGGUCAUAAACUAUCACCUAUGGUGUCCAUAUCAUUAGCUCAAAGUGGUUUACAAACCCAGUGUCAUGAAUUCUCAGGUAGAGGAUACCAAGGUAAUCCCACUAGGCAACUGAGAAGAGAGGCCAGGAAAGUCCAGUGAUGUCAUCGUCAUGGUGCCCACUCCCAGAAUUCAUUAUGUGCUCAGACACACAUGGGGCCCUAGUGGCUACUUAACAAAGAGAGGGCUUGCUUAUGAGGCUGGGCAGGGUGGGACUGCAGACCAAGCCGGGCCUCUUCCAGCUCCUCUUCCAGUUCAAAGCCCAGAAGAUGCAAUGUAACCAGCUCCCCCAGACUCUUAUUACCAUGGAUUAAUUUCCUGACAUGACAGACAGACUGUACCUCAAACUGAGCCCAAAUAAGAGCACUGAGACAGGUAACCAAUAUAUCCAUCCCUCCAUAUCCACAGGAGAUAUAGCCAAAGCUCCCAGUGGAUAGCAGAAGCUGGGAAAGGUCUGGACAUGGAGUAUACUGUGUUUUCCUGUGCAUGUCUGUCUAUUAUACAGCUUAAUGCAUUUAUUAGCUACUCUAAGAAACUAACAGUGAUUGCUAAUAGAGCAAUUGUAACAAUGUACUAUAACACAUGUUAAGUGAAUAUGAUCUUUCCUUCUCAGAACGCUUCAUUUGACUGUAAGGUUUAGGGCUGAUUUUGGUUAACAGGAGCCAUGCAGAGUCAAAUUGUGGUUGAAAGGGAUUAUUAAACCCCAGGGUGAGAGCUCCAAGACUCUUCCUGAAUACCCUGUAUUUUCUUUAACCUUAACUUUGCUGGUAGAUUUAACUAAGUGUAUCUGAUUUAGACUCACAUUAAAUAAAAGAAAGAAAUUUCCUGCCUAUAUCUGAAUGUUUAUACGGUAGGUGGCAAGGGAAGUGAUCAAAGCUAAAGUCUCUCGUGACAUGAAUCACCCAGAAUUAAAUGCUUAGGAUGCUUUCAAGCGAUCUUAAAUAACUUUGCUAUCAGCAUACACGUGACUCUGGUUUAGAAAAUAACUCUGAGCUGCAGAAACUGUUUCCACAACCCAGAGGUUCCCUUCCUGGGCCACGGCUAAAUGAUUCACCUUGACCACGAGCUGACAUGGGUUCCAGCUUACAUGUCUUUAUGUCAUCAGACAGCAGCAGCGAGCCUCCUGUUUUCUUUGAAAAAGGAAAACUGUACCUUGUCUUUCUCCAGUCCGAAGGUCUUAUCAGCGAAGGACCGGAAGAAAAAUAAUCAACUUAAUGCACCUUUUCCAGUUGGUGGGAAGAGACACCCGCCAGGGAAACGACAACCCACCUUUCCACUCCCCAAAGAAAACCCCAAAUGGCCGAAAGAGAUGACAGGAAGAGGCUUUAAAUAGUGAAGGACAGGGAAUACCAGCUUUCUGAGUCACGGCCUCUCGCUGGAGAGGUGAGAAACCCUUGCGGGUUCAGGCUCCAAGAGCAUUUACAGCUGCUUCUUGUUGGGAGAGCCCUGACUCUCAGGCUCAGGUCUGGAUCACGGAAGCUGUGUCUGCACCCCAUCACUAGAGGGAGGCCAUCACAUUUCAGUCAGAGGGAAAGAAGAAAUACAGAGGAAGCCCAGGAGACAACAGAGGCAAGGUCCUCCCUUCUAGGAUGGCAGUGGCAGUAUUUCCUAAUGCUGAUGCUAUAAUAAAAUACCGGAGGCUGGGUAUGUUAUUAAGGAGAAAGAGCUUACUUAGCUCUGGAGGCUGAAAGCACAGAGAUCACAUGAUUCCAUAGGAAUGGUGGGAAUGUAUGUGGACAAGAUCACAUCUGGAAUCCGGAAGCUAGAGAAAUUUAAGGAGCAGAAAGUGUUCUUUUUGAAAGAACUUAAUCUCGUGGGACCUGAUUUAGGUCCCAGGAGAACUUUAGUCCCCUAAGCCUGAGGCCUAACGACCUUAUGCUAGGCUCCAACUUUUAAAGGUCCCACUGCCACCCAACAUGGCCGCAUGGAACUUCUAGCACACAAACCAACCUCUAGGGGAAGGAGUUGAGUCAAAGCAGUGAGAGGCUAAGCAAAUGGAGAUAGCACAGAGGGGUUGGGGAGAAGCAUGAGUUGCAUCUCCUUCCUCCACGGGUCCUGUAGGGGCUGAGUUCUUCCUGGUCUCGGUCAACACCCACUCUCUGGUCUCUAUGUCAGCAUGGCAAACACAGAUUACUCUCUUAAUAGCGAUUUGACACAGAUCCAUCCAUCCUGAGGCUGCCACCCACUCUUUGGUCUCAUGUAACACGCCUGGCUUCAACUUCUGUCAGUACGCUGGGGAUCCCGAGUUCUAACCUACCUGUCACAGAGUUCCUGCCCUCUCCCAACUGUCUUCCUGUACUCAGUAGCUCACUACAUUUGAAGGACCCGUAGGGAAUAAUUCACCUCUACCUUCUCUGGAUAAACUGCUCUCCAAAUAGUCUUCUAUCCCAUUCCCAGGGAGCAUCCUACCCAGGACCCCUUCAAUGAGUUUCACUUGCAAAGGCCACCUUGCUUCCUGCUGUCAGGACUAGGAUCUCAAGCUGGGUAAAUUCUACAGAUGCUUACUUAGCCCACGGUCCUGAGGCAUUGCAUCAGCAGCCUCUGGUGAGGGUCUUCCUGUUGGAUCAUGGCAUACGUGCAAGCAUCAUGUGGCCGGACAGGGAAACGUGCUAACCUCAGGCUCCUAUGGAGCCACUUACGUCAUGGUAGGCUCACUCUGACGGCCUUAUCUAGUCUUAGUUACUGCCAAGGGCGCCAUCUGCAAAGGCCUCUAGCAUAUGGCUUUAGAGAUCCAGUUUUGGCCUGAGUUUUGGCGGGAAUGAACACCCAGAUGCAAACCAUAGCUAGUCAAACACCGAUCCUCCACCCUUUGUCUUUCUUCUGAUCACUGUGGGAAGGCAGGCCACCAGCAUCUCUCCUCUUGCCAGGCCACUGUCCCCAUCUCCCUUAGCCCAGAUGUAACGUGAGGAAGCAAAUCUGAUGACAUCAUUCCCCGCUUGAUUGCUACGCCUGCUUCCCCAUCACCCACAGGACAGAGUUAGUUGGGUUGAGGUUCUGUAAGAGUUUCAUGAUCUGGCCACUGGCCGAAAAUCCCCCCUUCCCAUACUUUCAUCCUUUCGUAUAACCACCCUCUCGGCUCUUUUCAGAAUUCCCUUUCUCACAACCUUCUCUCCUUUUCUCCUUGUCUGUGUAAUUAACAACGAUCCCUGAGGUAAAGCGGUUCCUCAUGUCCGCUAGCCUUCUGGCUAAAAUGGCUCUCUCACAUUCUGCACUUGAUGCUUGCGAUGGCUUCCUGCUAUUGCCUGCCUUAUCCUCUGGCCCCCAGAGUCUAAUCUCUGUGUGCCAGGGGCUGGAUUCACUACCAUGCCUGGCCUCCUAGACAGAGGCGAUGAGCUUCUCCAGCGGGGCAUCUGCCAUGCCCUCGCCUCGACCUAGAAGAGCCCUGUGCGUCACAAUUUGAUGCUUUGCUUCCUCUUGGAACUCAAGAUACACUGGUGUGGAUAGGUGUGUGCAUGCACUCAUGCAUACGGUGCCAGGGAUCAAAUCUUGUGCACGUUAAGUAUGUGCUGGGCCACUGAGCCACUCCUCUAGUUCCUUAUCGUAUUAUUUACGCAUUUAACUUACGUUUCUAUGAGUAUGAGUGCUUUGUCUGGAAGUGUGUGGGCCAUGUACGGUACUCAUGGAGGCCAGAAGAGGGCACCAGAACCUCUGGACUGGAGUUCAUAGGUGCUAAUGAGGCACCAUAUGGGCACUGGGAACUAAACCCAGGUUCUCGGCAAGAGCUGCCAGCUCCCACUUACCGAGUCAUUUGCUUGCCCUCCAGCCCCUCAUUUUAAAAUAAGCAACUUGGCAUUUAUUCCCCAUGGCAUUUGUGAAGCCCCAUGUCCCUAACUACAGACACCUAAUGCUUGUGGGAUAGACAGCUGCUGCUCCCUGACCAGAUCAUGAGCCUUCCCUCUUUUCUAGUUCUUUCUGGAAGAUGGACGGAUACACUCUUCUUCAGAAAUGAAACAGAGCAAGACAACCAUCACAGAAGUUGUCCUCACUCCCCGCCUCCAGCUCCCACUACCUGCCUGCUGUUGGCUGCCUGGGGCCUCCUGAAAGGGUGCACCCCAUCUGAGGCCACUACAACCCAUCAACGGCCCAGUUUCAGUCCCUACCCCUCUGCCGCGCCGGUUCUCAAUCAGGGGUGAUUUUGUCUCCUAGGCCACAUUCCCAGAAGUUAUUUCUGGUUGCCGUGAUGGGCAGCGACCCUUGGUAUCUAGUAGGAGAAGGGCAAACUGCUGUAAAUCUUUAUCUCACAAGCAUUACGUUUAUCCCACAAUAACCAGUAAGCCUACCCACAAAGUUACCCGGUCCAAAGCAUGGCAGUCCCAUGGCUGAGAAACCCUGCUCUGUUGCAGAUCUUAACUGAGUGCAGGGGUCUUAAGAAUGUGGUCAGGGUAAAAGGUUUCUGAAAACACAUCGAUCAGAAAUCCAUUGGAAAUCAAAUGUGUAGCCAGGUGGUGGUGGAGUGCAUCUUUAAUCCCAGAGGCAGGUAAGUCUCUUGAGUUUAAGGCCAGCCUGGUCCAGGAUAGCCAGGGCUACACAGAGAAAUCCCUGUAUCUCAAGAAAAACAAACAAACAAACAAACAAGCAAAAAUAGGUCAAAUGUGUAAUGAACACCCUUGAUGCGUCUCUGGCACUGUCCAACCUGUUGAUCCUGCAUCAGCCUUGCAACGCUGGCUCUGAACACACACUCUACACAUGUAACAUGUUCACCUUGCCACACCUCUCAACACUAACAGCCUCUGCCCCGAACACUUUAGCUUAGAUUCGGCCCUAAGGCACACUCUGAGGGGCGGUGUCUUUUUUUUUUUUUAUAAUACAUGUGAAGCUGCCCUUAUAGAAACAUCGUGCUUCCUUGCAGAGAAUAAAGCUUUCAAUAUCUUCCCAUCACCACUCCUUAGCAUGUAAACAUCAAGUCACUACAUCCCUGGAUUUUAUUCUAUCAGACAGACAAGCACGCCCAUCUCAUUAGUACGCAAAUUUGCUUCCCUUUAAAUAAGUGGUAAAUUACAUGCAUGCUGAAGGAUUGUUUUGAAAUACACUUCCUUAUGAUUACCAAUAAAUUCUUUGGGAACUGAUUUCAUAUACCAAUAUACCUGGGGUUGCAUACAAAUUUUUUUGGGUAAAAAGGCAUCAGGACGGAAAACCCUUGAAAGGUCCCAAUCUAUUGAAUCAGCUCAUAGUGAUUCACUGCUGACUUUACUGCUUCAUCCCGGGCCCUUUGGCAACACCUCUGACCAGAGAGGCUGCUGUGCAGCUACUCUCCUCCCCCAGUCUCCAGGAGACUCCAGUCUUCCUCUUCCAAUGAAGCAUUCCUGCUCUUCUUGCAGACAAGAUGGCACCUUCGCCUUCAAGGGCAGAGCUGUGCACACCUGUGAGCUGCUUGGGUUUCCUACUUAUCAUGGACAGAGCCUGGAUAAACUGCUCUUCCUCUCUAGGCCUUAAUCUGUCCAUCUCUGCAAUGGAGCCAAGCAUCUUGCCAGUUUUGAUCAGAUGUCCUCGGGUUUGGGGCUGAGAAUGGGCAGAGGAGGAGCUAGGGGAGAGAGGCUUCAGUGUCUCCUUCCUCUGCAAACAGCCUGCCAUGGACUGAUACUGCUUAAUAAUUAAAAGCAAACUCAUUCCAGCCAUGCCCUGCAACCUCAGUGUACUGUGGCCCCAAUACCCCGGCUUUUUCCUUUCCACGUCUACUGUGAGGUAACCUGGUCACAAAUCCAAGGUUUAGGAAGCCUGAGAUGUCUCUGACCCACUGAGUAGGACGUAGUUUCUCUGCUGUGCUGUUGCACCUUAUCUGUCCUGCAGAGGGUUUACAGGAGUAUGUCUGCAUGACGAACUCCUCAGUGACACAAAAGACAUUUAUGUGUUCACAGCAUUGGGUAUAGUCUCUGGCAUACAGUAGGGCUCGGCAGACUUUUAAAGAUGAUAUAAGUCAUAAGCAUCUAAGUUCUGGGGGUUUCGGUUACAGGGCUGAUCAUGAACUCCGGGUUUGUAGGGAAGGCUUCAGGGUGCAGAAGGGUUACUCUGGGAAGGUGAAAUGAUAGUUUUUAUUUUUACCUCAGAAGUAUUCCUCUUUGCCUCUUCUCUCAGCAGACAAGGUAGAAUAGAAUCUCUAACUUUAAUUAUCACUCUGUGUGUGUGUGUGUGUGUGUGUGUGUGUGUGUGUGUGAUAUGUGCGUACAAGUGCAUGGGUAUGCCGUGCACAUGAGGGUAGGUGAGAGGACCGCCUUCAGGCCUCUGCUCUCUCCUUCCCCCAAGGGAUUGAAGUCACUGGAGUCAUUGAAGAUGGCCCAAUGUGUCAGGCUCACACAGCUGAUGCACUUACUACAUGUUGGGCCACCUCCCUGGCUUAGCACCGUAAUUUACUAUCCUUGCCCCUGACACCCCAUCCUGUCAUUUUCAGUUUUCUCUCACACUGCCAUUCUCUCAAGCUAAGACCUAUUAGCCUGGUUGCCAGUGAGAGGGAGGGCUGCUGUGAAGAUGGACAGGCACCAGGCUUCCUCACCUGCUCCCACCACUCAUAGCCAUCAGCUGGGACACAAGCCAGUCACGUGCGUCCUUGACUACCUUCCACAUGGGAGUGUCUCCCUGAGGCACUGGUAUAGCAAGGUGGAGUCUACCUGCUGUGAAGGGUCUUGGGAAUGGCCUAUGAAAGAUGCUUUUAACUAGCAACAAUAAAGCAUGAAAUAUUUUUGGUAAGUAGGAAAAGGCCCCUCACUUAAAGAGAUUAAAUAGGUUACAGUUAAGAGAGUAUUUUUGGCUGGCUGCUCUGGGAGCCAUGACCCGGGGGGAGGGGACCUCAGCCUGAAGUUCUAUAAUGCACUCUGAGACAGUAACCAGGAGAAACAUUGUAUAAACGCCAUUGGUGUUGAAUGGAAAUUUGUUCUGGAAUAAUUAUAUAGCUAGGCAUCAACGCAUGGAAAAAAAAACAGAACAGAAAAUUUUGACAGCCUGCAUAGUGGACACUUCCAGAGUUCUUAGGGCCAUUGGACCGAGUAGCUCAUAAACAGGUAGGUGGGCGUCUCUCUGAAGGAGCAUUUGAGUUGUUAAAACAGAAACUUAGUGAGUUAAUACGGUUACACACAGAACACACUGAUUUAAGCAAGGCUUUUGUUUUGUUUUUGAGGCAGGGUCUCUUUAUGUAGCCCUGGUUGUCCUGGAACUUGCUUUGUAGAUCAUGGUAGCCUUGAACUUGCAGAAAUUCAGCUACCUCUGCCUCCUGAGUGCUUGAAUUAAGACUAUGCACCGCCACAUCUGGACUGACAAAGCUGUUCUUAGUGCAGUCAGUCAAGGUGAAGGCCAAGGGUAGAAGGCAGGCACAGAUGUCUAUAUUUCUGUGUGUAUAUGAUGUUAAGGAUGGAGCAGAGGGUCUUGUGCAUGCUGGCACACAUGCUACCAUUAAGCUGCACCCCAAUUCAACGGUCGUGCAGUGUGAUGGAUGGAAUUUAUUUUUGUCUACUUGACAUCUGGAAGAGGGAAUCUUAACUACGAGAUGGCCUCCAUUCAAUUGCCUGCAGGCAAGUCUGUUGUGUUUUAUAAAAAUAAAGAAGGAAUAUGUUUGGUGGAUGUGUAGUCAGAUGUGGGGUAAGGGGGUGCCUCUGCAGGCUGAGGUAUCCCUUCCCCCUGAGGGACCAGCUACAUGACUAUAGUAUAAAACAGAGUUUAUUCAGGGCAUGGGGAAGGGAGGUGAGAGGGUAGUAGUGAGAGAGAGAGAGAGAGAGAGAGAGAGAGAGAGAGAGAGAGAAAGAGAGAGAACGAGACCUCAGGCCUGCCAUGAGGAGAGAGGAGAGAGAGUGGAGGAGAAUGAGGGGAGAGGAGCAGUGGGACGAGACAGAGCUAGAGCAAGAAGGCAAGAGAGCCCAAAUGCUCAAAUUACCCAAGAUGCACAGACCACAUGAAACUCAAGAAGGAUGACCAAAAUGCGGAAGCUUCACUCCUUCUUUAAAAGGGGAACAAGAAUACCCUUGGCAGGGAAUAGGGAGGCAAAGUUUAGAACAGAGACUAAAGGAACGGUCAUUCAGAGUCUGACCCACAUGUGGCUCAUACAUAUACAGCCACCAAACUAAAGAUGGAUGAAGCAAAGAAGUGCAGGCUGACAGGAACAGGAUGUAGAUCUCUCCUGAGAGACACAGCCAGAAUAUGGCAAAUACAUAGGCGAAUGCCAGCAGCAAACCACUGAACUGAGAACAGGACCCCCGUUGAAGGAAUCAGAGAAAGGACUGAAAGAGCUUGAAGGGGCUUGAGACCCCAUAUGAACAACAAUGCCAAGCAACCAGAGCUUCCAGGGACUAAGCCACUACCCAAAGACUAUACAUGGACUGAACCUGGGCUCCGACCUCAUAGGUAGCAAUGAAUAGCCUAAUAAGAGCACCAGUGGAAGGGGAAGCCCUUGGUCCUGCCAAGACUGAACUCCCAGUGAAUGGGAAUGUUGGGGGGGGGAGGGCGGUAAUGGGGGGAGGAUGGGGAGGGGAACACCUAUAAAGAAGGGGAAGGGGAGGGGUUAGGGGGAUAUUGGUCUGGAAACUGGGAAAGGGAAUAACAUUUGAAAUGUGAAUAAGAAAUAACCAAUUUAAUAAAGGGAGUGGGGAAAGAAGGCAAGAGGGCAAGAGGAGGGGCCCAGCAGCCCCUUUUACAGUGAGUCAGGCCCACCUGGCUAUUGCCAGGUAACUAUGGGGCGGAGCCUAGAGAAAAUGCUAACAAAGACUGUGAGGUACUUUCCCUUUAAAAAAAGAAUAAAUUAACGUUUGAUAUAGAAGGAUCUAUCCCAGGAUGGGGAAGGGGCAUGCCACCUCUGGGCGAGUGGUCUUGGGUAUUAUAAGAAAGCUGAGAACGCCAUGAGGAAUAAGCCAGUAGGCAGCAUUCCUCCGUGGCCUCUGCGUAAACGCCUCCUGCCUCCAGGCUUCUGUUUCAGUUCCUGCUUUGACGUCCCUCAAGAUGGACUGUUAAGAUGGUAAGAUGAAAUAAACCCUUUCUUCCCUGAGUUGCUUUUGGUC